GAUGAACGCUGGCGGCGUGCCUAAUACAUGCAAGUCGAGCGAACAGAUAAGGAGCUUGCUCCUUUGACGUUAGCGGCGGACGGGUGAGUAACACGUGGGUAACCUACCUAUAAGACUGGGAUAACUUCGGGAAACCGGAGCUAAUACCGGAUAACAUUUGGAACCGCAUGGUUCUAAAGUGAAAGAUGGUUUUGCUAUCACUUAUAGAUGGACCCGCGCCGUAUUAGCUAGUUGGUAAGGUAACGGCUUACCAAGGCAACGAUACGUAGCCGACCUGAGAGGGUGAUCGGCCACACUGGAACUGAGACACGGUCCAGACUCCUACGGGAGGCAGCAGUAGGGAAUCUUCCGCAAUGGGCGAAAGCCUGACGGAGCAACGCCGCGUGAGUGAUGAAGGGUUUCGGCUCGAAAAACUCUGUUAUUAGGGAAGAACAAACGUGUAAGUAACUGUGCACGUCUUGACGGUACCUAAUCAGAGAGCCACGGCUAACUACGUG
rnacentral:rRNA from 1 species